ACACUGCCCCAUGCUCCAGAAUAGCUCUUGGAAACGGGUGGUAAUGCUGGAUGCUCCAACUUGACGCAUGUCUUGUUGGGAAAGUGUUUAGUGGCAUGGGAUGGGGUCGCGUCCUAUCAGCUUGUAGGCGGGGUAAUGGCCCACCUAGGCUUCGACGGGUAGCCGGCCUGAGAGGGCGGACGGCCACAUUGGGACUGAGAUACGGCCCAGACUCCUACGGGAGGCAGCAGCU
rnacentral:rRNA from 1 species